rnacentral:rRNA from 1 species
UACGGGGGAUGCAAGCGUUAUCCGGAUUUAUUGGGUUUAAAGGGUGCGUAGGCUGUGAGGUAAGUCAGCGGUGAAAUGCCCCCGCUCAACGGGGUGAAGUGCCAUUGAUACUGCCUUGCUGGAAUGCGGUUGCCGUGGGAGGAAUGUGUGGUGUAGCGGUGAAAUGCAUAGAUAUCACACAGAACACCGAUUGCGAAGGCAUCUCGCGAAUCCGCUAUUGACGCUGAUGCACGAAAGCGUGGGUAUCAAACAGG